ensembl:lncRNA
UAGAAACUGUGUUUUUUAUGAUUGUCAAUAUUUACAAUCUUCACAGGCUCAUCUACACGACUGUCUGACAGCUUGGUGUCUUUAGUAAAAAAAUGUUCCCAGUUACCAAGUCGCAUGCGGCUCAGUGUCUUCAUCAUAGAUCUGCUAAACUUGCAUGCUUUGGAAUUCUGGAUCCAUCAUUUAUACACAUGCGUUGAUGUUGUGAAGGAACACUAUCACCAAUGGGGUUUCUUGGCUCUGGCCCAGGGGUCAACUUAUGGACCAUUGUUCCAAGAGCUGCUUCUUUUGCUGCAGCCACUCUCCCUGCUGCCAUUUGACCUCCAUCUUCCAUCAGAAACUCACCUUCAGAGUAAUGAAAAGCAAAAGAACAGAGCACCCCUGCCUCAACGGCUUCUUGGCCAGUCAGCUCAGAUCCUGCAGAUGAACUCAAUCCAGAAGAAAAGCAGGAGUCCAACAGGUCACAGUGGUGCCUUUAGUAAAAGGGUAACUGACAGAUUUUGGCUCAGUCAGACACCCAUCUCAGAGUGUAGAACACAGAAGAAAGAGGAUGAAGGAACCAGAAUGGAAAACAGUGAGACGUCACAAUCUUCAUCAAGUCCUCUGGAGGACAAACACUUUAGUGAGCUGCAUUGGGCCAGGCUCUUCGGCUCUAGAGUUGGAACACCAGUUGGCCCACAGAAGGCACAACAAAACAGGAGUGGACCUCUGAGAAGUAGGCGGCCCUCGGAAUGGCUGAAGCUUGCUGCAUCCAAAGUGGAUCUGCUUGCGGAGUCAGUAUGGACAGGGAAAUUGCCAGAGGCUCAUCUGAAUGGUAACCGUGACAGCGAUACACCAAAUAAAGAUUAAAUAUUAACUCUAAAGAGGCAGCAAAGAGUCUGAUUUUAGCUGGACAGAGUAAAGCACAAUUACUCCAAAAUAAGCCAACAGACGCAUCCUGUACAAUCCAAUACAAGUGCACCAUACAGUAUCUGUUCUCGGAUGGAAUGUUGCCUUAGUGAUUUACCAAUCAGGGCAAGUUGUAUUAUAACUUGGUAUUUAAAAGGUAACAAAUUAUUCACUAACUUUAAGACAUGAUGAUGAAAUAAAGUUUUUUAGUUUAAUAAUAUAGUAUAGUGCAUGGAUGGAUAUCGCCUGCCACAAAUCAAGC